GAUGAACGCUAGCGGCAGGCUUAAUACAUGCAAGUCAAGGGGUCAGCAAUGGCACCGGCGGACGGGUGAGUAACGCGUACACAACGUACCUUUAACUGGGGGAUAGCAUUUGGAAACGAGUGGUAAUAUCGCAUGUGGUUGUAGGGAGGCAUCUUUUUGCAACUAAAACUCAGGUGGUUAAAGAUCGGUGUGCGUCCGAUUAGCUAGUUGGUGAGGUAAUGGCUCACCAAGGCGACGAUCGGUAGGGGGCGUGAGAGCGUGAACCCCCACACGGGUACUGAGACACGGACCCGACUCCUACGGGAGGCAGCAGUAAGGAAUAUUGGUCAGUGGAGGCAACUCUGAACCAGCCAUGCCGCGUGAAGGAAGAAGGCGCUAUGCGUUGUAAACUUCUUUUGGGUGGAAGAAAUGGUCAAUUUAUUGACAACUGACGGUACCAUCAGAAUAAG
rnacentral:rRNA from 1 species